rnacentral:rRNA from 1 species
UGGGGAAUAUUGCACAAUGGGCGCAAGCCUGAUGCAGCCAUGCCGCGUGUAUGAAGAAGGCCUUCGGGUUGUAAAGUACUUUCAGCGGGGAGGAAGGCGUUGAGGUUAAUAACCUCAGCAAUUGACGUUACCCGCAGAAGAAGCACCGGCUAACUCCGUGCCAGCAGCCGCGGUAAUACGGAGGGUGCAAGCGUUAAUCGGAAUUACUGGGCGUAAAGCGCACGCAGGCGGUCUGUCAAGUCGGAUGUGAAAUCCCCGGGCUCAACCUGGGAACUGCAUUCGAAACUGGCAGGCUAGAGUCUUGUAGAGGGGGGUAGAAUUCCAGGUGUAGCGGUGAAAUGCGUAGAGAUCUGGAGGAAUACCGGUGGCGAAGGCGGCCCCCUGGACAAAGACUGACGCUCAGGUGCGAAAGCGUGGGGAGCAAACA